rnacentral:rRNA from 1 species
GACGAACGCUGGCGGCGUGCCUAAUACAUGCAAGUAGGACGCAGUUGCGAACGGGUGAGUAACGCGUAGGUAAAUGCCUAUUAGAGGGGGAUAACUAUUGGAAACGAUAGCUAAUACCGCAUACUAGUAGAUGGACCUGCGUUGUAUUAGCUAGUAGGUAGGGUAAUGGCCUACCUAGGCGACGAUACAUAGCCGACCUGGUAGGGUUAUCCGCCACACUUGGGCUGGGAAACGGCCCCGGAUCCUACGGGAGGCAGCCAUAGGGAAUCGUCGGCAAUGGGGGGAACCCUGGCCGAGCAACGCCGCGUGAGUGAAGAAGGUUUUCGGAUCGUAAAGCUCUGUUGUUAAGGAAGCGGUACUUAACCAGAAAGGGACGGCUAACUACGUGCCAGCCGCCGCGGUAAUAC